GGGUUGUGAGGUUAAGCGACUAAGCGUACACGGUGGAUGCCCUGGCAGUCAGAGGCGAUGAAGGACGUGCUAAUCUGCGAUAAGCGUCGGUAAGGUGAUAUGAACCGUUAUAACCGGCGAUUUCCGAAUGGGGAAACCCAGUGUGAUUCGUCACACUAUCGUUAACUGAAUACAUAGGUUAACGAAGCGAACCGGGGGAACUGAAACAUCUAAGUACCCCGAGGAAAAGAAAUCAACCGAGAUUCCCCCAGUA
rnacentral:rRNA from 2 species